rnacentral:lncRNA from 1 species
GGGAGGGGUGGCUAGGAUGAAAAAUUUUGUCCUGCAUUUUUUUUUAACUGCAAUAUCUGUCCUGCCUUUUUAUUUUUCACUCUGUUCGGUCCUGCCUUUUUAUUUUUCACUCUGUUCGGUCCUGCCUUUUUUUAGUUUAUCCUGACUUUUUUUUACCUAAAUUGUCGUCCUGACUUUUUUUUUUGCAAGUGUCUCAUCCUGCCUUUUUUUUUUACUUAAAACU